rnacentral:rRNA from 1 species
CGACGCUGGCGGCAUGCCUAACACAUGCAAGUCGAACGAAGCCUUCGGGCUUAGUGGCGCACGGGUGCGUAACGCGUGGGAAUCUGCCCUUGGGUUCGGAAUAACAGUUAGAAAUGACUGCUAAUACCGAAUGAUGUCUUCGGACCAAAGAUUUAUCGCCCAAGGAUGAGCCCGCGUCGGAUUAGCUAGUUGGUGAGGUAAAGGCUCACCAAGGCGACGAUCCGUAGCUGGUCUGAGAGGAUGAUCAGCCACACUGGGACUGAGACACGGCCCAGACUCCUACGGGAGGCAGCAGUGGGGAAUAUUGGACAAUGGGCGAAAGCCUGAUCCAGCAAUGCCGCGUGAGUGAUGAAGGCCUUAGGGUUGUAAAGCUCUUUUACCCGGGAUGAUAAUGACAGUACCGGGAGAAUAAGCCCCGGCUAACUCCGUG